rnacentral:rRNA from 1 species
UACGUAGGGGGCAAGCGUUAUCCGGAUUUACUGGGUGUAAAGGGAGCGUAGACGGCAAUACAAGUCGGAAGUGAAAUACCCGGGCUCAACCUGGGAACUGCUUUGGAAACCGUAUGGCUGGAGUGCUGGAGAGGUAAGCGGAAUUCCUAGUGUAGCGGUGAAAUGCGUAGAUAUUAGGAGGAACACCAGUGGCGAAGGCGGCUUACUGGACAGUAACUGACGUUGAGGCUCGAAAGCGUGGGGAGCAAACAGG